rnacentral:rRNA from 1 species
GGGUUGUGAGGUUAAGCGACUAAGCGUACACGGUGGAUGCCCUGGCAGUCAGAGGCGAUGAAGGGCGUGCUAAUCUGCGAUAAGCGCCGGUAAGGUGAUAUGAACCGUUAUAACCGGCGAUACCCGAAUGGGGAAACCCAGUGUGUUUCGACACACUAUCAUUAACUGAAUCCAUAGGUUAAUGAGGCGAACCGGGGGAACUGAAACAUCUAAGUACCCCGAGGAAAAGAAAUCAACCGAGAUUCCCCCAGUAGCGGCGAGCGAACGGGGAGGAGCCCAGAGCCUGAAUCAGCAUGUGUGUUAGUGGAAGCGUCUGGAAAGGCGCGCGAUACAGGGUGACAGCCCCGUACACAAAAGCGCAUGUGCUGUGAGCUCGAUGAGUAGGGCGGGACACGUGGUAUCCUGUCUGAAUAUGGGGGGACCAUCCUCCAAGGCUAAAUACUCCUGACUGACCGAUAGUGAACCAGUACCGUGAGGGAAAGGCGAAAAGAACCCCGGCGAGGGGAGUGAAAAAGAACCUGAAACCGUGUACGUACAAGCAGUGGGAGCACCCUUUGGGGUGUGACUGCGUACCUUUUGUAUAAUGGGUCAGCGACUUAUAUUCUGUAGCAAGGUUAACCG